GGGGGCGCGUGGUCUCGACGGGAAGUGGAGGUUGCAGGCUGCGAGCCGAGGUCGCCGCAGACCUCGUAAAAAAUGCGGCGAAAAAUAAGUGCCAACCACUCUUACGCGCUCGCUGCUUAAUUGAAGUAGCGACGUCUCCUCAUCCUUGCCGAGGGGGUGAGAGAGGCGCCAUAUACUCGGCUGCCCCAUAGGCUCCGCCCUUGGGCUUAUGGGAAAGCUCAAAGGGGCUAUGCUUUAACCAAUCCUGCCUUUGGGAGUGGUUAAAGUGAAAAGCAAAACAAAGGCUACGCUCGUAGACGCCUGAGGCUGAAGCUUUCCGGACACGGGUUCAACUCCCGUCGCCUCCACCA
rnacentral:tmRNA from 1 species